UACGGAGGGGGCUAGCGUUGUUCGGAAUUACUGGGCGUAAAGCGCGUGUAGGCGGCUUUGCAAGUUAGAGGUGAAAGCCCAGGGCUUAACCCUGGAAUUGCCUUUAAGACUGCAUCGCUAGAAUCGUGGAGAGGUGAGUGGAAUUCCGAGUGUAGAGGUGAAAUUCGUAGAUAUUCGGAAGAACACCAGUGGCGAAGGCGACUCACUGGACACGUAUUGACGCUGAGGUGCGAAAGCGUGGGGAGCAAACAGG
rnacentral:rRNA from 1 species